UAAAUUGAGACAAAUUAAUGGGACAAAGUCAAGUUUAAUUGCAUAUGCAUGGGAACCCCACAUACAUGAGAGGUUGAGACAAAAAGGUAAAAUGAGGCAUAUAUGCCAUCUUGACCUAAGGAAUGGGAUAGGGGCCUGAGGCUUCUGAGGCGAGAAGGGUAAUUCACAGGAUGGUAAGAGGAGCAGAUGUUUAGUAAUUAGAGGUUUGCCCUGCCAUACAAAUAGGUCAUAAAAAUUUACUUCUGGUAAUAACUCUUAAUUUGGGCAAAGCCCCAAUUUAAAUUCUUGAAAGGAGAGGUAAAAGUUUCUUAAGCCUGCAGGGUCUUGAUUGCUAUUAGCUCAAAAUAUUUUAUGUGCCAAAGUAUCACAUCCUGGGGAAGCCUGUUCUGAAGGCCUUCAGUGCUAAGGAGGCUGAGGGAGGCAGAGGCCAAUGAAACCACCCAGGAAAAAGGCAGGAACUGGGCACAGAAGACCAGGGGCAAGGCUCCAGAGAUAAAGAGGGACAUUCAGGUGCUUUAUAGAUGACAGUGACAAAGAAGCUUUCCCCAAUAUUGCUUUGCUCUGUAAAAACAUCAAAUGCUAACUUCUCAUUUCACCUGGAUUAUUCCCAUGAAGCAGGUGAAGCAAAUUUCUAUCAGGGCAGAAUCUUGGCCAGUGUCCAGGGGAAGGAGCCUG